rnacentral:lncRNA from 1 species
GGUCCAUAUGCAGUCCCUAAGAUCAAGUGGCUUAAAGCAGUCGGAAGCCAUGCCUGCUAAGCGCAUCUUGGCCUGCAUCCACACAACCAUCGUCUGAACUUGUGAGUGAGCUGAGAAGAUAGAAGUCUCUCUGAUACCCAAGUCAGCUCAGUCAAGACCAAACUACCAAGCUGGUUAUCGGCAUAUAAUCCACGAACGGACAUCAUGGGUUUCUCUU